UUUUUUUUUUUUUUUUUUUACAACGUAAUAUCAUCGUCUGAUCGUAAAAUUGAUUAUUUUUCUCCCGCAAUUUGAUUUCAUCUUAUGAAAUCUUACACGUAUGUGCCACCUACGUUUCCCUAUUGUGAUUUCCCUCUCUCGUCGCACGAGCAUAUUAAUCAGUGUUGUGGUUUACUACAAUGCAUUCCAACAUGCAUAACACUGAAAUAUUCUCCUUUAUGUUCUCCCCUUCUUCCAUCAUUCUUUUACUCUGUGUCACUUCUCUGCCUCAAGAGCAAUCCUCUACUCUUGUCGAGUCUACUCCAACGUAUCCCUGUGUACAGGCUAACGUAAGAAUGAAAGGUUAAAAGCAUUACGAGCCGUGCAGUUCUCCUCGACGAAAAUACGCAAGUAAAUCGCAUAAUUGCAAAAUUUGGAGGAUUAUCGAUCGAAUAUAUUUAUACUAAGUUUGUUAUAAAGGAUAAUCAAUGCUACCCGAACUAGUGAAAUUUAAAAAGGAAAAACGAGAACAGAGUUAAGUCCGUGUAGCACAAGCGUUGGUGAUCCCGUGGCAACGAGUGAGAUUCUCCCGCAGAGCAAUAAAGUGCAGCUUUUUAUUUUCCACUUUUUAGGACGAGCAUUCAAAGUGGAAAAAGAUUGUGUCGGACUAAUCCGCGAUUUCUGUAUGGCGGUAAAAAAAAAAAAAA